UCGCUUUUCUUUACGUUAUUAUUGGCUUUAAACUUUCCAACUCAGGUAGAUGCUCACACUAGACUUCUCUAAUUAUUAUAUUCUUUAAGUUGGAGGUAGUUGAUAUAUUUUCUUUGUUUGUCGUAUACUUGAAUAGUGCAAAAAUAUCAAAUUGUAUUUUAUGUUAGCACCUGACACUUGAGCUCUUUACAGGUACUGUUAUUGUGCACACAAUCGGUCAUGAGGUAUUAAUAAAGUACAAGAUUCAUCUCUUUAUUAUUAUGAUAAUUUAACUUUCUAUUUUCGGUUGUUAUUUACCUGUAACUUAUUUUUUAGAUAAAAUUAUAAAAAAAUCAUAUAGUAUAUAUUUUAAUAUUAUUUAUCCUUCAAGUCCUCUAAGUUAUAUAUUAAGAGUGAAAAGUCUGUGAGAAUAGAAAUUUUAGGUACAAAUAUACAUUCAGCAAAUAAGAGUAGAGAAUUAAGCACGAUGUUUUAGCUUUACCUGAAAUAUGAAUUAGUUAGAUUGGGAGGUUAUAACAAAGAAAACUAACCACUCUAUAAAUGUGACCUACAUCUAUUGAUAACAUUAAAAUAAUAAGUGCGAGAAGUUUCUCUAGUGAAAUACUAUUUCAAGUUCAAAACAGGAACACGAAUUGAAAUUUCACAAAAACACACCUAAAAACCAAAGUAAACAAGGAGAAAUUGUACUAAAUUUUCAAAAAACGGCUAUUAAAGAAACAAGUUAACCCCCUAUAUUUUCUGUAAAACAUGUGUACUUUUUAGAUUUUUUGAUAGACAUAGAACUACAAAACCAAACAAUCAAACUAUUAAUUGUGAAAAACACUAGCCAACACGAGAAAACACGACUAGAAAUCAAACAAACAAACAAACAAUUAAAAAUCAAAUCUAGCUUUGAAAGAGGCUAGUGAAACCACAAAUCAAAACUCCAAACAUGAAAAUGGAUCGAAACUCAAGCUGAAAGACAACCAGAAAUCUAGAUAGACAAAAAAAAACGAGAGCAAACAAACAACUGAGCCUGAAAUAUCUUUCACGCUAAGACAUGUCAAUGUUUUUCUUUUAACUUCUUGGAACAAACAUGAUUACAAACAAAAUACUAAAGUUAAACCAAAGAAACACAAAUAUAUGUCCAACGUACGAACCAAAUUAAAAUCAAACCACAACAGAGCACAACUACAAAUCAAACAAGCAAACAAACAAAAAUCACAUCCAACUUUCAAAAAAGCUAGCAAAAACACAAAUCAAAAUUCGAAACACGAACAUGGAUCGAAACUCAAACUGAAACACAACCACAAAUUGAGAUAAAGAAAGAAAAACCACAUCCAACUUUGAAAAACAACUAACAAACAAACAAUUGAAUAUCAAAUAUCUUUCAUAAUAACACAUGCUAAUACUUCGUCUAACUUUUUGAAAUAAACACGAUUACAAAUAAAACACCAAAGUUAAACUGAACAAACACAAAUGUGUGCUCAACAAACCGAUCAAAUUAAAAUUAGACCACAAUAAAGUACAGUUACAAAUCAAACAAACAUACAAAAGUGAAACAUAUGACUUUACAAAAUGAUUAGCAAACACAAACAAAACUCGAAUAUCUAACGAAAUCAAAUGGUCGACAAUAUGAGCUUUUUGUAAGAAACACAACUAAACAAACUUGACAAACAAAAGUCCAUUCAGUUGUGAAGAAUCCUGACAAGCAAAGGCCUAAGCCUUUAACACCUUACAUAAGUAAGUAGUGAUCAAUAUUUUUGGGUUUUGGAAAGAAACACAGCUACAAAAGCUGAAAUUUUUAACUUCUUGAUAAGGCAAGACAUCUUAUAUUACGAUAUAGGGACUUAAUUGAGUAGGACUUUGAAAUGUCAUACUUUUAUAGAUAGUUAACUAACUCAUGCAACUCUCACUCCUAGUGGUAAGAUACUGAAACUGUCAUUUUUGGUCUUAUUUUUUGUAGUUUUUGUGUUCUUAUUUCUCAGUUUGGUGUUCAAUAUUUUUAUGUCAUCUAUUGAUUAUAUUUAUUGACAAAUGUUGGCUGAUAUCUAAUUCCCUAUUGUAAAUUAUACAAUUAUUAUUUGACUUUUUAUUGCUGAAAAUUGUUAUAUCAUGAGUUGGUAUUCAAGCGGUCAACUUAAGGAGGAUUUGUGGUUGUCAAUCGAAAUACGGGUGCGUCUCAAUCUUAUCUCACAGUCAACUAAAAUUACAGAGCAUUAUAGAUAUGAGUUCGAUGUUGUUGUUUAUACUACUACCAUUUCAGCUGCUAGUAGAUAUAUACUUACUUUUAUUACGUUAAUUAUUGACUUCUUUAAAAAUAUUAUAGAAUAUUUUAUGUACAUAAUAGUAUGAUUAUUUUCCCAAUAUAUUAGUAUGAUUAGGAAGAAAGUUAAUAAGAUAAUUUAAUUGGUUACCUUCAUGAUCAUUUUACAUGUAUGUAUAUCCCUAUUCUCUAAUCAUUAAUAUAGAGUAUUAUUCAGUAUUGUUAUCUUUCUCUAACUCUUAACAUGGUAUCAGAGUUAAGGUUAGGGUUAGGAUUUAGUUGUCAGAAUACAUCAGACUAAGAAAGGGUUGAACAACCAUUCCCGGUGCCAGAGGAAGUCGACCACCGAUCUUCGGCGUGUUCAAAGUGCAGCCAGUACGGUGGUGUAUGCAGAAUGAGAGAAGGAGGUCAUUUGCAUGGCUGUUUCAAGUCAGAAUCGGGUUUGUCGACCAUUUAUGCGGGUGCUGGAAAUCCUAGCAUCGUGCCUAUCCCAUGCGAAGUCAGAAGGUGAAGGGAAGCUCAGUCGGUCUGUUCUGAGCACGAAACCAAAAGGUCAGGGCGGAGAAAACUCGAGAUUCAGUAGAUCGCGCGACAACAAGCUUUUCCGAUUCUCUAGCGCGAUUUGCUGCAAUGUUGGGAGCUACAUUCCGGAUUUGGAUGUGUAUCCUGGUUCUGUGGUGAUUUCCGACCAAAAGGAGAUUGUUUGGCAUUUCUCGACAACGGUGGCACAGAAACUCCAAUGAUUGGCAGUGAACUUCUAGUAAGGUUGUUGAUAACCGUGCGUGAAGAGACACUUUGUCUUCUGAAAUUUUCUAGUAUAUUUGCAGUGUUUUUGGUGUAUCUCUAUUUGCUGUAUUUGGAUAUUUUAGGUGAUAUUUUUUGAUUUAUGGAUUAAAAUGAGUGAUAAUAUUGUUUGUUAUUACUGCUGUGAGUGAGAACAUAUAAAGUAGUAUUAUAAGAAAUUGCAGAAUUGCAAUUGGAUUGCACAAACCAC
rnacentral:lncRNA from 1 species